rnacentral:rRNA from 1 species
AAUAUUUUACUAUGGGUGGAACCCUGAUCGAGCCAUGCCGCGUGUGUGAAGAAGGUCUUCGGAUUGUAAAGCACUUUAAGGUGGGAGGAAGAGUUGUAGGCUAAUACCUUGCAAUUUUGACGUUACCAACAUAAUAAGCCCCGGCUAACUUCGUGCCAGCAGCCGCGGUAAUACGAAGGGUGCAAGCGUUAAUCGGAAUUACUGGGCGUAAAGAGCGCGUAGAUGGUUGGUUAAGUUGGAAGUGAAAGCCCCGGGCUUAACCUGGGAAUUGCUUUCAAAACUGACGAGCUAGAGUACGGUAGAGGGUAGUAGAAUUUCCUGUGUAGCGGUGAAAUGCGUAGAUAUAGGAAGGAACAUCAGUGGCGAAGGCGACUACCUGGACUGAUACUGACACUGAGGUGCGAAAGCGUGGGGAGCAAACAGG